UAGAUACCCUGGUAGUCCACGCAGUAAACGAUGAAUGUUAGUCGUCGGGAUGCAAGUCAUUUCGGUGAUGCAGUUAACACAUUAAACAUUCCGCCUGGGGAGUACGGUCGCAAGAUUAAAACUCAAAGGAAUAGACGGGGACCCGCACAAGUGGUGGAGCAUGUGGUUUAAUUCGAAGAUACGCGAAGAACCUUACCUAGCCUUGACAUUGAUAGAAUCUUCCAGAGAUGGAGGAGUGCCUUUCGGGGAACUUGAAAACAGGUGCUGCACGGCUGUCGUCAGCUCGUGUCGUGAGAUAUUGGGUUAAGUCCCGCAACGAGCGCAACCCUCGUCAUUAGUUACUAACAGUUCGGCUGAGGACUCUAAUGAGACUGCCUUCGUAAGGAGGAGGAAGGUGAGGACGACGUCAAGUCAUCAUGGCCCUUACGGCUAGGGCGACACACGUGCUACAAUGGUUAGGACAAUGAGAAGCGAUACCGCGAGGUGGAGCAAAUCUAUAAACCUAAUCUCAGUUCGGAUUGUAGUCUGCAACUCGACUACAUGAAGCUGGAAUCACUAGUAAUCGUAGAUCAGCCAUGCUACGGUGAAUACGUUCCCGGGUCUUGUACUCACCGCCCGUCACACCAUGGGAGUUGAUUUCACCCGAAGCGGGGAAGCUAAACUGGCUACCCUCCACGGUGGAAUUAGCGACUGGGGUGAAGUCGUAACAAGGUA
rnacentral:rRNA from 1 species